rnacentral:rRNA from 1 species
AACGAACGCUGGCGGCAUGCCUAACACAUGCAAGUCGAACGAGACCUUCGGGUCUAGUGGCGCACGGGUGCGUAACGCGUGGGAACCUGCCCUUAGGUUCGGCAUAACUCCCCGAAAGGGGUGCUAAUACCGGAUAAUGUCUUCGGCCCAAAGAUUUAUCGCCUUUGGAUGGGCCCGCGUUGGAUUAGCUAGUUGGUAGGGUAAAAGACUACCAAGGCGCCGAUCCAUAGCUGGUCUGAGAGGAUGAUCAGCCACACUGGGACUGAGACACGGCCCAGACUCCUACGGGAGGCAGCAGUGGGGAAUAUUGGACAAUGGGCGGAAGCCUGAUCCAGCAAUGCCGCGUGAGUGAUGAAGGCCUUAGGGUUGUAAAGCUCUUUUACCCGGGAUGAUAAUGACAGUACCGGGAGAAUAAGCUCCGGCUAACUCCGUG